UGGGGAAUAUUGGACAAUGGGCGCAAGCCUGAUCCAGCCAUGCCGCGUGUGUGAAGAAGGCCUUUUGGUUGUAAAGCACUUUAAGUGAGGAGGAGGCUACUUGGAUUAAUACUCUAAGAUAGUGGACGUUACUCGCAGAAUAAGCACCGGCUAACUCUGUGCCAGCAGCCGCGGUAAUACAGAGGGUGCGAGCGUUAAUCGGAUUUACUGGGCGUAAAGCGUGCGUAGGCGGCUUCUUAAGUCGGAUGUGAAAUCCCUGAGCUUAACUUAGGAAUUGCAUUCGAUACUGGGAAGCUAGAGUAUGGGAGAGGAUGGUAGAAUUCCAGGUGUAGCGGUGAAAUGCGUAGAGAUCUGGAGGAAUACCGAUGGCGAAGGCAGCCAUCUGGCCUAAUACUGACGCUGAGGUACGAAAGCAUGGGGAGCAAACAGG
rnacentral:rRNA from 1 species